ensembl:misc_RNA
UUAAGAUAAGUAGCAGUGCUUUAUUUAUUCACAAAACAGACUCGUUUAGAGCAGAGGGAGUAUGUUUCCCCACAUCAUCAGACCAGCUAACCUGACCUAAAGGGACAGCUUAUAGAUGAGGUUGUAGCUAAAUUUUUAUGGACCAUUUAGUUCUUGGCCUCU